CCUACGGGGCGCAGCAGUGGGGAAUAUUGCACAAUGGGGGAAACCCUGAUGCAGCGACGCCGCGUGAGUGAAGAAGUAUUUCGGUAUGCAAAGCUCUAUCAGCAGGGAAGAAACUCACCCUUUGGGGUGGCUGACGGUACCUGACUAAGAAGCCCCGGCUAACUACGUGCCAGCAGCCGCGGUAAUACGUAGGGGGCAAGCGUUAUCCGGAUUUAUUGGGUUUAAAGGGUGCGUAGGCGGAAUGCCAAGUCAGCGGUAAAAUCGCGGGGCUCAACCUCGCUCCGCCGUUGAAACUGGCGUUCUUG
rnacentral:rRNA from 1 species